AAUUUGAAGGGUUUGAUCCUGGCUCAGAACGAACGCUGGCGGCGUGGCUAAGACAUGCAAGUCGAACGGACCAUUAAUUUAUUAGUGGUUAGUGGCGAAAGGGUUAGUAAUGGAUGGGUAACGUACCCCAAACUUCAGGAUAGCGUCUGAUUACUUCGGUAAUCUUCCGAAAGGGGCGGUAAUACUGAAUAAUAUCACAUCUCGAUAGGGAUGUGAUCAAAGAUUUAUCGGUUUGGGAGCGGCCUAUUUCCUAUCAGCUUGUUGGUG
rnacentral:rRNA from 1 species